UUUCAAGUCUGUGGUUAGGACUUGGAG
rnacentral:piRNA from 1 species